rnacentral:tRNA from 1 species
UCCCUGAUGGCUCAAAUGGUAAAGCGUCUGCCUACAAUGCGGGAGACCCGGGUUUGAUUCCUGGUCAGGAAG